rnacentral:tRNA from 2 species
GGGCAUAUGGUCUAGGGGUAUGAUUUUCGCUUCGCAUGUGAAAGGUCCGGGGUUCAAAUCCCCGUGUGUCCA